rnacentral:snoRNA from 1 species
GCUGGAGCAAACUGGCAUCCAUUGCCCUGGACCAUCCAUUGCCCAGUCCCUGCCUGUGGGCUGCUGGCACAGAAGUGGGUUACACAGGG